rfam:Schistosoma mattheei strain Denwood, Zambia genome assembly, scaffold: SMTD_scaffold0005200
AUCCAGUCGACAAGUCCAAAAUAGGACGAAACAUGCGUCCUGGAU